AUUUAAUUAUGCAAGUGUUGCAGCUUUCUGAUGAGCAGAUACAAAUGCUCCCACCAAACAACGCUCUUCCAUCAUUCAGCUUAAGGAACAGAUACAGCGUUCACAGCACUAAGUCUUUUUGAUGAUCAUGGAGUAAAGCUCACGCCUAACCGGAAGUGAUGUACAUAAGGAUUUAAAGAUAUAUGGUAAACUAUUGUUCAUUUCAUCCUAUCCCCUUGUUAAUAUAGAAUAUGUAUACAGUUUAUUGAUUUUUAUGAGUUGACAGUUGUCACAGGAAAUCUGUAAUGAUGUUUCAUAAUUACCAUUGCCUUUUAUAAAUGUAUUCUAGUGUUAGGAAUGGAAAAUAAGUUAAUUACAAAUGCUUUCAAGAUAGUUUCCAGGUACAUAUGUGCUGCUCGUGGGAAGCUGUUGCAAGUGGAGCUUGUGCUCUAAUUUAGUCAGUAUGUUUGUAUGAAAUAAGAUUUUAAAUUUCUAGAUUUGAUAACAUGCUCUGUUUUUUGGCUCUCAAAGUGUAUGUCUAAAUUACUAAUGAAAAGAUGUGAAAAUAUUUUUCAACUGGAGGGAGAACAAGAUACUAUGUAAUAUACCUUGAAUAUUUAGCACUGUAUAGGAAUACUUUUAUAUAAAAAAGCAUAUAUGCUAUCUUUGUUUCAUGUGCGAUAUUUUAGUUCCUACUUUGUAUGUUAUUUCUUGCAAUUAAUCGCUUACAGGAAUAUAGGUUAGUCUCCAUUCA